UACGAAGGGGGGCUAGCGUUGUUCGGAAUUACUGGGCGUAAAGCGUGCGCAGGCGGCUUCUCAAGUCAGGGGGUGAAAGCCCCAGAGCUCAACUCUGGAAUUGCCUUUUGAGACUGAGUGGCUUGAGUACGAGAGAGGUGAGUGGAAUUCCCAGUGUAGAGGUGAAAUUCGUAGAUAUUGGGAAGAAACACCGGUGGCGAAGGCGACUUACUGGACACAUAUUGACGCUGAGGUGCGAAAAGCGUGGGGAGCAAACAGG
rnacentral:rRNA from 1 species